GAUAUGUGAAUACAUAGCAUAUCAGAAGGCACACCCGGAGAACUGAAACAUCUUAGUACCCGGAGGAAGAGAAAGAAAAUUCGAUUCCCUUAGUAGCGGCGAGCGAAACGGGAAGAGCCCAAACCAACAAGCUUGCUUGUUGGGGUUGUAGGACACUCUGUACGGAGUUACAAAGGACGACAUUAGACGAAUCAUCUGGAAAGAUGAAUCAAAGAAGGUAAUAAUCCUGUAGUCGAAAAUGUUGUCUCUCUUGAG
rnacentral:rRNA from 1 species